CACGUAGGGUGCGAGCGUUGUCCGGAAUUAUUGGGCGUAAAGAGCUCGUAGGCGGUCCGUCACGUCGGAUGUGAAAUUCCAGGGCUCAACCCUGGACCUGCAUUCGAUACGGGCGGACUAGAGUUCGGUAGGGGAGACUGGAAUUCCUGGUGUAGCGGUGAAAUGCGCAGAUAUCAGGAGGAACACCGGUGGCGAAGGCGGCCUGCUGGGGUGGAGCUGACGCUGAGGCGCGACAGCGUGGGGAGCAAACAGG
rnacentral:rRNA from 1 species